AUGUACAUGCCCUUGACCGGAAUCGAACCUGGGACCUUUCAGUCCGCAGGCCGACGCUCUAUCCACUGAGCCACACCGGUUUCGGCAAGGGGCUUCUUCCAGGCAAAGGCGCGUGCGGUUGGCCGAGGUCAGUGCCAAGGAGGCAGCAGCGUGCGGAAAGGGGGUGUCAGUGAGCACGGACGCCGGGGACGGAGGACCCAGGACGCGGGCUUCGCCUCCCGGAGCUGAGCCAGCUCUGUGCUGCUGAUGCGGAGCCUCCCCGCACCCCACGCGGCUGCGGGCGGCUUGCCCUGCAGGUGCCCCGAACGCGCGGUUUGAGAGGAGGAGUCACUGCUGUGUGCCUUCUGCUCUGGUCCCGGCCCUGCCCACCCAGCGCACUGUUCCAGCCGGUCUGCACCUGGUGCCCACAGACCACAGACCUAGAAAAAGAUCUGGUGGCUUCUCUCUUCCUCCUCCUGCUGCUCAGCUGGGGAGCUGGCCAGAGCCAGGGCCUUCGCACACACACAGGCAGCACAGGCACCAACAGGAGGAGGUGCCGAGGGGGGUGAGAGGCAGGGCAUCUGACAGCCUGCCUAACCCUGACCCUGACCCUGAACGGCCACCGGGCUCCUCCUCCAGGCCCUCCCGAGCUGAGGGGGUUCGGAGAGUGGCCUGCAGGGCAACCAACCCCCCCUCCCACCCCCCAUCACCGCAGGAAAGCCCCGGAGCCAGGUUCAGAGAGGAGCUAGUCAACCAGCGAGGUUGCCCUGCUGGGGGAGUGGCCAUGGGAGCUGGAGAGUCUGGUCCUUUCUGCAGCUUGUCGCCAUCACUUCCCGGGACUGACAGCACAUCCUGGCACCCAGAGGAACACAUGGCUUCUCUCCCUAAGGACCGGGACCCACACGCUUUGUGAAGGAGCCAGUCGGUUGCCUAUGAGCAGGCCUGUCGCCAUAGUUACCUGCCGCCACAUAGCCAGGCGCUACGGAGUUGCAGAACUGUUCACGGCGUUCCCGUGCCGACGUCACCCAGACACGGGCUGAUGAAUGGCUCGACAGCCAGAGCCGGGGAGGUGUCCCGUUAGGACAGGGAGCGGCGUCCUCACCCUUCCCUCCAGACCAGCAGACCGCCAUCACCCGCAGCCCCGUCCUCGGGCACAGCCACGGGCAGUGCCAAUGCCAACUCUGCAUCAAGUCUGUUGAUUAGACAAAAAACAAAACAAAACAAAAAAAACGGUUUUAUAGUCUCAGGCACUUUUCUCAGUCUGCUCUGCCUGAGAAGCAAUCUGGGAGAGCCGUGAGCUGCUUGUCUUAGCUUCCCACGUGUGUGGCAGUAGAUUGGGGGGGGGGGUUCCAUAAGGAGACUGUUUUGAAGACUGUUUUUAUUUAAAUACUAGAAGCCCAGAGUGUGAAAUCUCGCGAGACCCGGGACCCAGAAUCCCACCGGCGCCUCUGGUCAAGUCCCCAUGCACCCCGAGCACACAGCCUCCUGCU